rnacentral:rRNA from 1 species
CCUACGGGUGGCUGCAGUGGGGAAUAUUGCGCAAUGGGCGAAAGCCUGACGCAGCGACGCCGCGUGAGGGAUGAAGGUCUUCGGAUCGUAAACCUCUGUCAGCAGGGAAGAACGGUCACUGUGCUAAUCAGCAGUGAAUUGACGGUACCUGCAAAGGAAGCACCGGCUAACUCCGUGCCAGCAGCCGCGGUAAUACGGAGGGAGCGAGCGGUAAUCGGAAUUACUGGGCGUAAAGCGCUCGUGGGCGGUAUGUCAAAUCAAGGGUGAAAUCCCCGCGCUCAACGUGGGAACUGCCGUUGAAACUGGCGAACUUGAGUGUGUGAGAUGAUAGUGGAAU